rnacentral:rRNA from 1 species
AGUGAACGCUGGCGGUAGGCCUAACACAUGCAAGUCGAACGGCAGCACAGUAAGAGCUUGCUCUUACGGGUGGCGAGUGGCGGACGGGUGAGGAAUAAAUCGGAAUCUACUUUUUCGUGGGGGAUAACGUAGGGAAACUUACGCUAAUACCGCAUACGACCUACGGGUGAAAGCAGGGGAUCUUCGGACCUUGCGCGAUUGAAUGAGCCGAUGUCGGAUUAGCUAGUUGGCGGGGUAAAGGCCCACCAAGGCGACGAUCCGUAGCUGGUCUGAGAGGAUGAUCAGCCACACUGGAACUGAGACACGGUACAGACUCCUACGGGAGGCAGCAGUGGGGAAUAUUGGACAAUGGGCGCAAGCCUGAUCCAGCCAUACCGCGUGGGUGAAGAAGGCCUUCGGGUUGUAAAGCCCUUUUGUUGGGAAAGAAAAGCAGCAGGUUAAUACCCCGCUGUUCUGACGGUACCCAAAGAAUAAGCACCGGCUAACUUAGUG